rnacentral:rRNA from 1 species
UACGUAGGGGGCAAGUGUUGUCCGGAUUCAUUGGGCGUAAAGAGCUCGUAGGCGGUUCAGUAAGUCGGGUGUGAAAGCUCCGAGCUCAACUCGGAGAGGCCACCCGAUACUGCUGUGACUUGAGUCCAGUAGAGGAGCGUGGAAUUCCUGGUGUAGCGGUGAAAUGCGCAGAUAUCAGGAGGAACACCAGCAGCGAAGGCGGCGCUCUGGGCUGGAACUGACGCUGAGGAGCGAAAGCGUGGGUAGCAAACAGG